rnacentral:lncRNA from 1 species
CCUAAAAUGGAGACCUGCAGAACCCCAGUAGCGUCUGGCCACCAGCCUGGUGUAACCCCAUCAUUACCAUUAUCAUUAGGGCUGUGACUUUUUCCACACUGUUGGGAGAAAAAAGAUACACAACUGUAGAAAAGAGUGAAAAGGAAAGCAACAGACCUAUUCUAGCAGGCAACCUAGUCUUUUUUUAUACUUUCUUUUUAAUUUUUUUUUGAAUCAUAUAGCCUCAAUGUGAAUGUGAAGGAGAGGUGACCAUAUAGCUUUUAUCUCACCUCAUACCCUGGUGUGCCUUAAACCAAAUGGUGCUGAUGAAGAGGCAGACAGGAGUCACCCGAUCUGCAGGUGCCACCAGGAAAGACACAGGUGAAACGCACAUCGAAGCUUGUAAGCCUCCACUGUUCAAUUCACUCAUGGCCAUUACCAUCUCUAAGCAUAGGUGAUGUGCCCGCUGUUGUUUGUGUGCUGGGAAACUGGGAAAGUGUUAUUCUAAGGUGAGACACAAAGAGCUACUAAUGUACAAACACCCUUUGUACUGAAAAGUAAAACCCACUCAUUUCACUUAACCUGGAUCUAGCCCUUACUACAUCUGGGUUCAGCUCCAGCCUCAAUCACUUAAAUGUAGUUGUGUCUACAAAAUAGGUCUCUAGUCAACUACCCAAACUUAGGUAUCUACAGUGAUUUGAGGUACCCAGGGGUUUUCCAGGCAUCUACAGAAGAGGGGCAAAUACAAGACCUCUCAGGGAUGCAUGUUCUUCUGGAGUGGCAAGAGAAGAUUUGGCACAGUUUCUCAAAUGCUACUAGCAGUCUCCUUCAGCAAGUGAAUCACAUUCUUAAUCAGUACAGUUAAUUACAUAGAAGAUGUGAUUUAUCUGACCAAAUGUAAAUACCUGCUUCAAGAAGCACAUAAUCCAUCUCUUGGAUCAUUUGGUUAUAACAGUUACAAUUGACUAUAAAAGUUAGUUCUUCAGUGGCUUUAAUGAGAGCUUAGACAUGUAGACACCAACAUUAAAACGUCUAAUCUGGAGCUGAAUCCUUCUUCCAGUUCUUGAGGAAUCAGACAGCUCAAGCAUAAUUUGUGUUGUGUUGACAAUUCUUUGUAUCUUUAAUAAUUCAGCAACCUUUGAUGGCUCCUGUAAAGAAUCUCAGUAAAAUGAAUACUCAAGUUAUUCUUAAAUUAACUUCAAGCUUUUUCAUGGAAAGUCAUUCACUCAGUAUUUGUUUUUCACAUAGAUGUAAAAUAAUAAUAAAUAAUAAAAAAUAAAUGUGUUUGUGUUGUUU